CUCAUCUGUCAUCCGUACCAACACACCGGCUGACCACGCAGGCCCAAGAACUCACCGAUCUCAUACCUAUUGUAUGAAUCUGCAUGGGAAAGAAAGUAGAAACUGUAGGUGUUAUAGAUCAGGAGUCCUCUCGGUUCAUUUGAAGAAGGGAUGAAAUCUCUCUCCCCUCCAGCGGCGAGCUGACAUGUUCAGCAUUGGUUAGAAGAGGUCACAAUGUCAGGUUAUUGACCGACUGGGCAGCCGAGCAGCUGUGUUUGGUCAAGUCACCCUUGAAUAAGCCUGCGCUCCACAUGGGCCACCCCUGUCAAUGAAGUCUGGACAGACCGCUGGGAAAAAGUGCUAUUUAAAGAAAUCCGCAAAAACCACACGCUUUGAUGCUUCACUUCAUCACACAUCUUUAACCCUAAGCCCUGCAUUCAGAAGAGCUUUAUCCAAAUCAUUUAGAUCGUGCUGUAAACAGAAUACAAGCAAGCAGAGAAAUAUUUACACAGAAUGUGUAAACACCGAAUAAAUUAAACCAUCUGCAAAUGUUUUUUUUUUCCGUUUCACAAGUAUUUACUCCUGUAGUUUAAGAGUUAGGAGAUCACAGGUUACCUUAUGUG